GUCUCACUGGUCCAAUGGCAAAGCGCUCGUUGUGGAGCCAGAGGGUUCUGGGUUCGAUCCCCAACGGGGUCG
rnacentral:tRNA from 1 species